ACUUAAAUUGAAGAGUUUGAUCAUGGCUCAGAUUGAACGCUGGCGGCAGGCCUAACACAUGCAAGUCGAACGGUAACAGGAAGCAGCUUGCUGCUUCGCUGACGAGUGGCGGACGGGUGAGUAAUGUCUGGGAAACUGCCCGAUGGAGGGGGAUAACUACUGGAAACGGUAGCUAAUACCGCAUAACGUCGCAAGACCAAAGAGGGGGACCUUCGGGCCUCUUGCCAUCGGAUGUGCCCAGAUGGGAUUAGCUUGUUGGUGAGGUAACGGCUCACCAAGGCGACGAUCCCUAGCUGGUCUGAGAGGAUGACCAGCCACACUGGAACUGAGACACGGUCCAGACUCCUACGGGAGGCAGCAGUGGGGAAUAUUGCACAAUGGGCGCAAGCCUGAUGCAGCCAUGCCGCGUGUAUGAAGAAGGCCUUCGGGUUGUAAAGUACUUUCAGCGGGGAGGAAGGG
rnacentral:rRNA from 15 species